ACUCUGAGUGAUUUCCGUUAAGGAGAUCUUUUGGCACCUCUAAAAAUGGUGCAGAAUAAGGGGUGGGCAAGUCUGGUGUCAGCCGCCGCGGUAAUACCAGCACCCCGAGUGGUCGGGACGUUUAUUGGGCCUAAAGCAUCCGUAGCCGGUUCUACAAGUCUUCCGUUAAAUCCACCUGCUUAACAGAUGGGCUGCGGAAGAUACUAUAGAGCUAGGAGGCGGGAGAGGCAAGCGGUACUCGAUGGGUAGGGGUAAAAUCCGUUGAUCCAUUGAAGACCACCAGUGGCGAAGGCGGCUUGCCAGAACGCGCUCGACGGUGAGGGAUGAAAGCUGGGGGAGCAAACCGGAUUAGAUACCCGGGUAGUCCCAGCUGUAAACGAUGCAGACUCGGUGAUGAGUUGGCUUUAUGCCAACUCAGUGCCGCAGGGAAGCCGUUAAGUUUGCCGCCUGGGGAGUACGGUCGCAAGACUGAAACUUAA
rnacentral:rRNA from 1 species